UGUAAUGGUUAGUUGCACUGAUUAACACCAACUCGUGUACCUAAAACAAAAAAAUACCCUCGGAAAUAACUAGUUACCGUCUAGAGAACGUCGUAGUAGUAGACCAUUGUAUUGCAAACAAUUUUAGAUUGUAAGAUUAACGUAAACUCAAUUACACUAAUGUAUAAACUUAUAGAUUAGAUACCCGACUGUCAACAGAGCUUAGUAUUCUUUUUCCGAUAAAUCUAUAUACAUAAAAAUGAAUUGAUAUUUUGUAGGUGACGCCAUAGCUUGAAAACGGAUGAAUAGAUUAGGCUGAUUUUAAUUUGUUAUGUUCAUAUGGUUUUUAAAGAAAACUUUUCGAAAGUCUGGCAGAAAGUCGAAAAUUUGAAUGGUACUUUUGUAUAAAAAUCACAACACACCAAGAUAACCCGUAAAUCAACAAAAAUAACUCGAUAAUAUUUGAUACUCGGUUCUGCUGUCACGUGUUUCCAUAAAAGCUAAUCGAUAAU